rnacentral:rRNA from 1 species
GUAGUCCACGCCGUAAACGAUGAGUGCUAAGUGUUAGAGGGUUUCCGCCCUUUAGUGCUGCAGCAAACGCAUUAAGCACUCCGCCUGGGGAGUACGGUCGCAAGACUGAAACUCAAAGGAAUUGACGGGGGCCCGCACAAGCGGUGGAGCAUGUGGUUUAAUUCGAAGCAACGCGAAGAACCUUACCAGGUCUUGACAUCCCACUGCCCGGUAUAGAGAUAUACCUUUCCCUUCGGGGACAGUGGUGACAGGUGGUGCAUGGUUGUCGUCAGCUCGUGUCGUGAGAUGUUGGGUUAAGUCCCGCAACGAGCGCAACCCUUGAUCUUAGUUGCCAGCAUUCAGUUGGGCACUCUAAGGUGACUGCCGGUGACAAACCGGAGGAAGGUGGGGAUGACGUCAAAUCAUCAUGCCCCUUAUGACCUGGGCUACACACGUGCUACAAUGGAUGGUACAAAGGGCUGCAAGACUGCGAAGUCAAGCCAAUCCCAUAAAACCCUUUUCUUUUCCAUUGCAGGCUGCAACUCGCCUGCAUGAAGCCGGAUCUCAUAAUCGCGGAUCAGCAUGCCGCGGUAAUA